rnacentral:rRNA from 1 species
AGCAGCCGCGGUAAUUCCAGCUCCAAUAGCGUAUAUUAAAGUUGUUGCAGUUAAAAAGCUCGUAGUUGAAUUUCGGGAUCAAUUUGUUGGUCGUGCCUCGGUACGUACUGGCAUUAUUGGUUUCUCCUUUCUGACGAACCACGAUGUCAUUAAUUUGGUGUUAUGGGAAGUUAGGACUGUUACUUUGAAAAAAU